GACGAACACUGGCGGCGUGCUUAACACAUGCAAGUCGAACGAAGAGCGAUGGAAGCUUGCUUCUAUCAAUCUUAGUGGCGAACGGGUGAGUAACGCGUAAUCAACCUGCCCUUCAGAGGGGGACAACAGUUGGAAACGACUGCUAAUACCGCAUACGAUCUAAUCUCGGCAUCGAGGAUAGAUGAAAGGUGGCCUCUACAUGUAAGCUAUCACUGAAGGAGGGGAUUGCGUCUGAUUAGCUAGUUGGAGGGGUAACGGCCCACCAAGGCGAUGAUCAGUAGCCGGUCUGAGAGGAUGAACGGCCACAUUGGGACUGAGACACGGCCCAGACUCCUACGGGAGGCAGCAGUGGGGAAUCUUCCGCAAUGGACGAAAGUCUGACGGAGCAACGCCGCGUGAGCGAUGACGGCCUUCGGGUUGUAAAGCUCUGUUAAUCGGGACGAAAGGCCUUCUUGCGAAUAGGGAGAAGGAUUGACGGUACCGGAAGAGAAAGCCACGGCUAACUACGUG
rnacentral:rRNA from 1 species